CAAGUACUCCCUCCGUACGGAAUUACUUGUCAUCAAAAUGGAUGUGUCUAGAACUAAAAUACAUCUAGAUACAUCCAUUUCAAUGACAAGUAUUUUCGGAUGGAGGGAGUACAAG
rnacentral:pre_miRNA from 1 species